rnacentral:rRNA from 1 species
UACGAAGGGGGCUAGCGUUGCUCGGAAUCACUGGGCGUAAAGGGUGCGUAGGCGGGUCUUUAAGUCAGGGGUGAAAUCCUGGAGCUCAACUCCAGAACUGCCUUUGAUACUGAAGAUCUUGAGUUCGGGAGAGGUGAGUGGAACUGCGAGUGUAGAGGUGAAAUUCGUAGAUAUUCGCAAGAACACCAGUGGCGAAGGCGGCUCACUGGCCCGAUACUGACGCUGAGC